GGGACGUUACCUCAAUUGGUAGAGACACCGGCUCAUAACCGGUAAGUUGAAGGUUCGAGUCCUUCACGUCCCA
rnacentral:tRNA from 1 species